GGGCCGGUGUACCNGUCGGAACGCAGACCCGAGGCGAGGACACGCGCNNCACCUGAUANCGUGCUUCCGAGACUGGNUACGNAUCGNCGGUCCAUGCUGCUCGCCUGAGUGCUUCGCNUCGCUGUCCGCUGGGNGCAUGCNGNAGACUUGCUACUCGGUUCUGGCNNCUCUGUCGUUUGCUCUNCNCAUNUCGNCGUCGGCGCGUCUGUUCANUUCGCCUGUGGCGUCCUGGUNUGCUCUGUUGUUUUUGNGACUCGUCCUGGGUCGGCCUCACUCAUGNNGGNUUGCUGGUNUNUGUGUGUCGGNGCGGGGGGCUCGGUCUNGNUNUUUNUCGUCNUNUUGUCUGUNUCUGGNGUUUGCNGCCNCNANCUCGUNUUUCCGCUACCCGNCUUUUUUCCCCCGAAUCAGCCAGUACUCCGAAUGCCUAGAUUUAAGUUUGAUCAUGGCUCAGAGUCCAACGCUGNUNNGGCUAGGCCUAACACAUAGCAAGUCGAACGGCAGCACAGGAGAGCUAUGCUCUACUGGGUAGGCGAGUAGCGCGGCACGGGUAGCAGCGACAUACAUACGCGAAUACUAACUACUAGUACCGUAGGCGCGGAUAAACGUAACGGGAAACUAUAACGCUAAAUAACCGGCCAUACCGACCUAACGGGUAGAAAGCCAGCGGCGAUACUAUCGGACCUUGUCGCGCAUAUAGAAUAGAGCCGAUAGUACGGAUAUAAGCUAAGCUAUAGUGGCGGGGUAAAAGGCCUCACUCAAUGGGCGACGAUACCGGUAAAGCUAGGUACUAGGAAGAAGGGAUAGAUACACGUGCCACAACUAGGGGAACUAGGAGGAUCCAUCGGGUUACCCAGACCUAACUCCUAACGGGGANGGCAGUCCAAGUAGCGGGAAAUAAAUAUAUGGGCAGCCAAUUAGUGGGUCGCCAAAGUCUCCUAGAUUACCCAAGGCCCCAAUAAACCGCUGGUAGGGCGUAGAAAGAAACGGGGCCGUUAUACCGGGGGGUAUAGGUAAAUAAAAGUCCCCCUAUAUUUCGGUAUAGNGGCGGCAACAGGCAGACAAUUCCCCAGGCCUCGGGCCUAAAUGUAAACCCCUAGGCUUAUAGGGNGGAUUAGAACCGGGUUAAUCUCCCAAAACANGGCAAAUUAACAUGGUCCAACCCCUGGGGUCUUUAAAAAUCCUUAUUCCCGGUAUGUCCCCAAGUCCAUGGCUCCGGCCGGUUAAAUUAACACUGAAAAGNGGGUUAAGCAAAAUGGCGGUUAAAACUACCGGGAAAAUUAUAACUUAGGUGCCNGUUAAAAAGGCCGGUUAGCGUUAAGGGUUAGGGUUAAAUUAUUCAAAGGUUACCGCUNGAUCUGAAAAAGGCCCCUUAGGACUNAAAGACCCCUGAAGUGGGGAAAAACCUUAGGCCAGGUUGGGGAUUAACCUUGGGNGAUUUAGAACUUUAAGGCNAAUAUAGUUUCGGUUNACGANAGGGGGNNAAAGCCGGGGAAANUUUCCCUUGNAGCUUUGUUUAACCGAGUAAANAAUGCNCGUUAUCAAGCGUAUUNCNCGGGGAGGAGANCCUAUCCCCAUUGGCGGAAAAGGGNGCGCUUAACCUUGUACCCGACUNUUUGAACCUUUGAGGGGCCCGAUAAAACUAUUUGGUAAGGCNCCACAGGCGUUAUAUAUACCCCGUGUUUGNCCUCCNCCUCUAAUGCAGUCGANCACC
rnacentral:rRNA from 1 species